rnacentral:rRNA from 1 species
UACAGAGGGGGCGAGCGUUGUUCGGAAUUACUGGGCGUAAAGAGCGCGCAGGCGGUCGUUCAAGUCGCGUGUGAAAGCCCCCGGCUCAACUGGGGAGGGUCACGCGAUACUGAUCGACUCGAAGGCAGGAGAGGGAAGUGGAAUUCCCGGUGUAGUGGUGAAAUGCGUAGAUAUCGGGAGGAACACCAGUGGCGAAGGCGACUUCCUGGCCUGUUCUUGACGCUGAGGCGCGAAAGCUAGGGGAGCAAACGGG